AGUGAACGCUGGCGGUAGGCCUAACACAUGCAAGUCGAACGGCAGCACAGUAAGAGCUUGCUCUUACGGGUGGCGAGUGGCGGACGGGUGAGGAAUACAUCGGAAUCUACUUUUUCGUGGGGGAUAACGUAGGGAAACUUACGCUAAUACCGCAUACGACCUACGGGUGAAAGCAGGGGAUCUUCGGACCUUGCGCGAUUGAAUGAGCCGAUGUCGGAUUAGCUAGUUGGCGGGGUAAAGGCCCACCAAGGCGACGAUCCGUAGCUGGCCUGAGAGGAUGAUCAGCCACACUGGAACUGAGACACGGUCCAGACUCCUACGGGAGGCAGCAGUGGGGAAUAUUGGGCAAUGGGCGCAAGCCUGAUCCAGCCAUGCCGCGUGGGUGAAGAAGGCCUUCGGGUUGUAAAGCCCUUUUGUUGGGAAAGAAAAGCAGCAGGUUAAUACCCCGCUGUUCUGACGGUACCCAAAGAAAAAGCACCGGCUAACUUCGUG
rnacentral:rRNA from 1 species